rnacentral:lncRNA from 1 species
GCUGGACCCGCGGCAGGAAGCACGGCCGCUGCUGCCCCCGCCCGCGUGUCUGCCUGUCUUCUCGAGCCCCUCCUCCUCCUCGUGCCACGCGUGGGUCUGAGCCCUGCGGGCAGCUCGGGGCCGUGACUCUUCGCUAGCGCUCUCCCGUGCGGCCUAGAGCCAGAUUUGAGCCAUGUUUGCCACGAGGCCCCAAGAACGUGGGUUGGGACUUGGCAAAGCCAGAUUUGGGUUGCCAGGCUGGUGGGUAGCUCGUCGCGGUGACCCGCGUGCCAGUCGGAGCUUCCCAAGGCGGUCAGCAGCUUGGGAUCGUGGGACGGCUGUUUCCAUGCAGGUUCGUGCCGCUGGCCUGGAGGAGCGUCCUGCCAGGCCUGGGUGUCUGCCACCGACCACACCGGGUGCAGGGACACGGGGAGGGCUGCGACUCUGGCGUGGGGUUCAGCGGGGCCAGCCGGGCCCUCAGCCGGAUCUCUCCCGUCCAUGCUGAUCACCAGCGCCCGCCUUGCUCCCGGGGUGCCCAGGGCUGGAGGCCGAUGCUCUUUGUGUUCCUGGAUGAAGGAGGCUGUGGUAGAAAGACAGCUGACCCGAGAUGCUGAACACCUGAACUCUGGUUCUGCCAGUCACGAGCUGUGGGAGCUCGGGUCCAGCUCCCUUGUUUGCAAAGUCGUGGGGAGGAGAGGGGGUGAGGGCAGUGCCCUCUCAGGGGCUCCACAGCUCCGGAGAUGGUAACGUGAUGCUCCUGCCCCGCGCCCCUUCCUGGAGCUGCGCCCCUUUGCCGGCCCCCGAGGCCGGGGUCCUGGGGCCUUUCCCGGGAGGGCCGUUGCAUCCACAGUGGCUGGAGGCUCGAGGGAGGAACAGUGUGAGGGGAGGUGUCGCUGAUCCUCAGAGGACCUACGCGAUCAAGAACUAAUUAAAACAGCACUUUUCUUUACCCACGCUCGCGUCCCCGAGUGUUUUCUCAGGGGGCGGCGGGGCACCUGCUUUGAGGCUUUCUCCCCUAGACCCUGGCGUCAUGACGACGCAGAGCGGGAGCCCGGCCCGGGAGCCUCCCUGCGGGGAAGGCCUGGGCCCUGCUCUGGCUGUGCAGCCACAGCCGCUCUUUCACGUGCAGGCAGCAGGGCCGGGGCCGGAGCCGGGGCAAGCCUGUCGCGGAUGCCCCCGGCUUCGGAGGGCCUUUUCCGGGAGAAGCCCCAGCCCCAGCUCCCCUCUCUGCCCCGUGCCCUCCGCACUGAGGGUCAAGGACGCUGCAGUGCGUGUUUGUCGUUCACUUUAACUGGGCGGGCUGUGCAUCUCCUUCCGUCUGAGGGGAGCCCCCACCUCAGGGGUCUUGGGAAGCCCAGCUCUCUCCUCCCUGUAGAAGCCAAAUGUGUCCGUAGCUUCACGUGCCAGCAGCCCUUGCAGCCCAGGCCCAGGUCUAGUGGUAGCUAUCUAAACAUACAAAGGAAAGCAAAAGAAAAGACGCAGAGGAAAAGCAAAGCAGAGGGGCUGCGGAGGCCUCCCUGGUGGCUGUAGGUCGCAGGGAGGCGGGUUUCCAUGGCAGCAGUGACAGGUCUGCGUGCACGACGCUGGACGGCUUGGGGAGCUGCCUGGGCGCCCGUGAGCUCUUGGCUUAAUCCCGUGUUAACGCUCUCGAUGAGACCCGGGACAUUUCGCUAAGCCCUCCAGCCCCUUCUCGGACUAGCGCGAGAACCUAACCGUUGCCAGCCCUGCUCCGAGCGAUCCGCUGUGUUUCUCUUCUUGCCGAUCUUAUUGCUCCCAGCCUUCUGUAGGCCCCAGCCUCUCUGCGCCCCGUUCCUCAGGGGCCACAGCACCUGCUAGAGCAAGCCCCUCCCCCGAGCAAGCCCCGCCCUGGCAGUGGGUCCGCGCAGACCGCCCCUCCCUGCGGGCGGCCGGUGGCCGUUUCAUUCACUAGGCGGUGCGGGCGGAGGAUCCGUGGUCUGAGAGCUCGUCGGGGGCCUGUGGAAAUACAAGUCCUGAAGAAGAAUCAGAAUUAAAAGGGGAAAACCUAAAUUAGAUACCAUAAACCGUACCAUCCUGUUAAACUCAUUGUUAGUUUCAUAGCUAUUUCAUAGCAUGUCAGAAUUCUUCUACACUUGAAAAUAACGCGUAGGUUAGAAUCUUCACCUCACAAGAAAUUCUGCACACGCAAGAGGAUUGGCUAAGAUUGAGCCAAGUGUAAAUUAAGUGACUUACCCUCACCAAAUAAUUCCAAAAGCAAAACUGUACAGUUUCCAGAUCUCACUUUAGAGACCGCCUGCCCCGCUGGCCGCGUGUGCACUUCGGCACCUGAUGCGCGGGGCGGAGCCUCUCGGAGGGGGGGCGCCUGGACCCUGGGCAGAGCGCGCGCCGUGGGCCCCGGCUUUGGGGCGGGGACCUUGUCCUACAGACCCCAGCCCAGGGAGGCCUUGCGCGCGACAAGGUUUGAGGUCUGCGAGGCUGUCCCCAGUCGCCAGUCGCCACUUUCACCCGGCGGCAGGGCCUGCCAGUCGUUGCCAGGAUCCGUUCCCGGGAAUUGUGCCGCCGUCCCUCCCCGCCUCCCGCCUCCUGUGCACAGACGCCUCUCGGGCCCAGGUUCCAGCCAGGUGACCGCGAGGAGCAGCGGCUGUCCCAGCUCCAAGGCGCGGGUUUUACGGGACUUUGGCUGUCUCGCACUUCCUCUCUCUCCCCUUCCUUGUGACAGGAACCCGGACAAGCCUCGGGUCCUGCAGGUGGACGUGGCGUCCCAGAGGGUGGUGACGUAGGAGCCUCGGUUCUUUGACAAGCUCAGGGAGCAGGACCGUCCACCCGCCUCCAACUGCCUGCUUCCCCCUCCGCCGGUUACUGAGGGAGCACUGCGGGCCUCUCUCUAAGCCGUUUGGGCAUCUGUGAUGCAUCGUGGCGUUACAGCGCCUGAGCCUGAGCUCUGGCAGAAACAGAGCUGCCUUGCCUUUGUGCCGCGAGGAUUCGCCUGGGCUUCCUGGGAGCUGCGGCACCGCUGGCCUCCAGCGGACCAAGACGUGCCGAGGCCAAGCCCAGCAGGCGGGGAGGGACCCGGGCUCUCUCCGUGCCUGGUCCAGGCCACCACAGCCUCAGCAGCCCCCAGCCUGGGGACGAGGCCUGGUGCUGGGGCUCGGCUCCCCAUUUCUUCCAGCGAGUCGCAGGCACGGUCUGGCCCACUGAUAAUGUCACUUGAUGGCAGAGCCUGGGCCAGGCGGUGCCUCUGUGGCUUUUUUGGUUUAUUAAUGGGCCUAGUGAAGCAUUCCUCUCUCCUGUGUGAGGUGUCUCUCUGCGUAACCAAGCAGUUGAUGAGACGGUUAACUUAACAACGCACAGCAUAAGAGUUGUGAGUUUAGGUUGCAGCUCAGGAGGCAGCCUCGGCUCCAGAGAGGAGGGAUAAACAGCCUUACAUCUCGCCUGUAAGCCUGACACGCAUCUUGGUAAGAGGUUACGCUGGUCGCAAAGAACCAGUAUUCCAAGCCAGUGGCUUCAGUGGCUUUCUCUGUGUGGACAGAUGCAAGAAUGUGGGUUCGUGCAGUUCUCCCUGAGGCACACACUUAACUGUGUAGGUUUUUCCGAAGCACAGAGGGCCCCGUCCUGACGCUCAUCCUGCCUCCUCCCAGGGGCGAGCUCCCGGCGCGGCGGAGGGCCUCACCGGCGAACCGGGCGGUGAGCGAGGCUCUUGGUGCUUCUUUGUUUGCAAAGAAGGGUCUCUUUCAGACGUACUGCAGCUAAUAGCAGAAGGGUUGCUAGACUGGGGCACCGCCAGGGAGUGAAUGAAUCCCGGCAGUGACCACCCAAGGCCGCCCAUAGCGCAAGGAGAAAGUUGUCCAGACGCCGCGAGUCUGAUACGUGACAUCACCUACAGGGCGCCGCCAAACGAGGUCUGAAUGUGAUCCAGUCUGGAGGUCUGACUGCCAAGUCAGCUCUAGCUCCCAAGUGAGGGGACCUGCCCGGAACAGAGGAGCAUUUUAAGGGACACCCCGAGGAGACAAUCGGCAAAAUCCGGUUUGUGAGCAACAGUAGGUCCGGUUUCCGCAACAAGUAUAUCGCAAGGGGGGAAAACAUGAGAUGGACGGGAAACCUACAGGCUAAGGAGACUUAAAAAACCGUAUAAGCCAAUCGUGAAGUAUGAAACUUACUUGCAUCCUGGUUUAAAGAAACUAAAAAUAUCAUGAGAGGGUUGGGAAAAGAUGAGCAGUCGGUCACAGGACACUUGAUGGUAUUAAGAACUUAUUGUCUGCAGUUCCCUGCAUGGCUCAGUGGUUUAAAGACUCCGACUAGGAACCAUGGGGUUGCGGGUUCGAUCCCUGGCCUCGGUCAGUGGGUUAAGGAUCCGACGUUGCCGUGAGCUGUGGUGUAGGUCGCAGACGCAGCUUGGAUCCCGAGUUGCUGUGGCUGUGGCGUCGGCCGGUGGCUACAGCUCCGAUUCGACCCCUGUCCUGGGAACCUUCACAUGCCGUGGGUUCGGCCCUAGAAAAAGACAAAAAGACCAAAAAAAAAAAA